CAUUUUUCCCUCAGUCUCCAGUCAACCAGUCAAGCUCUUGGGAUGUCACCCUGAACAAGAACUCCAGGUCAUCAUACAUCUCCCACAUACAUGCAGUCCUCUUGCAGUAUGACACAUAAUGUCCAAGAGCAUCUUGGGUCAAGCCUCCCUGGAAAGCAAUGACUGCCCUCAAGGUAAAUGUGGUUCCUUGGAGCACCAGAGUGGAGGGAAAUUCACUGAAAGGGAAUUCUCUUUGCAGCUGUUGUGGAGUUGGUGGAGUUGCUGUGAAAUGGCUGCCAAGGGGGACACUGAGAUGCACUUUGGAUCGGCCUGAGGCAGGGAGACUCAGGAAGGCUGAGUCCUCGUUCCAGAGCAGUCCCAAGAUGAGCCAUGCCAGAAGUCUGCAGGACAGCAAUGGAAGUGGAAACAAACACAACCU